rfam:Schistosoma haematobium scaffold279_43, whole genome shotgun sequence.
ACUCAGACGAAGAGUCUUAAAUAGGGCGAAACGCGCGUACUGGAU